rnacentral:rRNA from 1 species
AGAGUUUGAUCCUGGCUCAGGAUGAACGCUGGCGGCGUGCCUAAUACAUGCAAGUCGAGCGAACGGACGAGAAGCUUGCUUCUCUGAUGUUAGCGGCGGACGGGUGAGUAACACGUGGAUAACCUACCUAUAAGACUGGGAUAACUUCGGGAAACCGGAGCUAAUACCGGAUAAUAUUUUGAACCGCAUGGUUCAAAAGUGAAAGACGGUCUUGCUGUCACUUAUAGAUGGAUCCGCGCUGCAUUAGCUAGUUGGUAAGGUAACGGCUUACCAAGGCAACGAUGCAUAGCCGACCUGAGAGGGUGAUCGGCCACACUGGAACUGAGACACGGUCCAGACUCCUACGGGAGGCAGCAGUAGGGAAUCUUCCGCAAUGGGCGAAAGCCUGACGGAGCAACGCCGCGUGAGUGAUGAAGGUCUUCGGAUCGUAAAACUCUGUUAUUAGGGAAGAACAUAUGUGUAAGUAACUGUGCACAUCUUGACGGUACCUAAUCAGAAAGCCACGGCUAACUACGUGCCAGCAGCCGCGGUAAUACGUAGGUGGCAAGCGUUAUCCGGAAUUAUUGGGCGUAAAGCGCGCGUAGGCGGUUUUUUAAGUCUGAUGUGAAAGCCCACGGCUCAACCGUGGAGGGUCAUUGGAAACUGGAAAACUUGAGUGCAGAAGAGGAAAGUGGAAUUCCAUGUGUAGCGGUGAAAUGCGCAGAGAUAUGGAGGAACACCAGUGGCGAAGGCGACUUUCUGGUCUGUAACUGACGCUGAUGUGCGAAAGCGUGGGGAUCAAACAGGAUUAGAUACCCUGGUAGUCCACGCCGUAAACGAUGAGUGCUAAGUGUUAGGGGGUUUCCGCCCCUUAGUGCUGCAGCUAACGCAUUAAGCACUCCGCCUGGGGAGUACGACCGCAAGGUUGAAACUCAAAGGAAUUGACGGGGACCCGCACAAGCGGUGGAGCAUGUGGUUUAAUUCGAAGCAACGCGAAGAACCUUACCAAAUCUUGACAUCCUUUGACAACUCUAGAGAUAGAGCCUUCCCCUUCGGGGGACAAAG